rnacentral:lncRNA from 1 species
AGUCUCGGGCCCACUUAACUGCCGAAAGACUAGGAAGGGGUCCAUUUCAUGAGCACGUUCAACCAAAGAGCGCUGUUAGGUGAGCAAAAACAAACCAGUUGUGUCUGAGCCAACACCCGUUUGUCUAUGGGUUGUAGCAGUUGGUCCACCUAAUCAAGGAAGUGCCGAGAGCACAGGACAUGAAAAGACACAGCGCUAAGAGUCUCUCUCUCUGUUGCCCAGGCUGGAGUGCAGCAGCAAGAUCAUAACUCAGGGCAAACUUGACCCCCCAGGCUCAAGUGAUCUUCUGGCCUCAGCCUCCCAAGUUUCCUGCACCACAAGGUUCCUUUCACUUAAAAAAAAAUUUCUUUAUGUCACACCAUCUUUAUUUGUACCUUACAGUCUAAGGCUAUCAAUCAAACUUCAGUAAGAACAGUUUCAGCAUCAACUAAUGAACAGUAGCUAAACCAGAGAGCAGUCAAAAGUGUUUUAAAGGGAGCAGCAUCAGCUGAUGUUCUGCCAAGUCUCUGGGUGUUCAGGACCACGGUCCCCCGGCACUUCCAGGCCCCUGUGGGCUG